GUCUGCAGCCAUAUCACCCUGCAACCCACAGCUGGCAGCCCACUGGGGCUCAGCAGGUGUGAGCCUGGUCAGGACCUGGAUGGGAGACCUCCAGGGAAAAACUAAGGUUGCUGCUGGAA
rnacentral:rRNA from 1 species